rnacentral:rRNA from 1 species
AGACCCUAUCAAACUUUACUUUAGUUUAACUGGGGCAGUUAAUUAAUAAAAAUUUUAAUAAAGAUUAAGUACUAAAUAGANNNCCCAACANUAGUUGAUUACANUGAACAAGUUACUGUAGGGAUAACAGCGUAAUAUAUAUCUAAAGUUCUUAUUUUGAUAUAAGUUUGCGACCUCGAUGUUGAAUUNAUAUUACUUUCAAGCGCAAGAGCCUGAAAAGUGGGUCUGUUCGACCCCUAAAUAUAUACAUGAUUUGAGUUCAAAUCGGUGUAAACCAGAUUGGUUUCUAUCUAUUNUUAUUUGUGUCUUAGUACGAAAGGACCUGAAACAAUAUUAUAUAAUNAUUUAUAUGGCAGAAAAAUGCUUUAGAUUUAGGAUCUAAUUAUAAUAGAUUAUUAUACUCUAUUUAACUUGCCUAAUCUCUGUUAUUAGAAUCCUUAUCGCAGUAGCUUUUUAUACCCUCCUAGAGCGAAAAAUUCUAAGCUACAU